rnacentral:rRNA from 1 species
UACGGGGGGGAGCAAGCGUUGUUCGGAUUUACUGGGCGUAAAGCGUGUGUAGGCGGAUCGUUAAGUACCUUGUGAAAUCCCACGGCUCAACCGUGGAACUGCUGGGUAUACUGGCGGUCUUGAGCCACCUAGGGGCAACUGGAACAAGCGGUGGAGCGGUGAAAUGCGUAGAUAUCGCUUGGAACGCCAACGGUGAAAACAGGUUGCUGGGGGUGUGCUGACGCUGAGACACGAAAGCCAGGGGAGCGAACGGGG